GGUCCCGGGGGUCCCGGGCAUGUGCCCGCUGUGUGCCCGCGCCCGGCAGCGCUGGGGCGGGAGAGGGGCGAGGGUGGUCGUGCACGAGGUGCGGUGGGUGCCCGCUGCCCCGACGUGUCCCGGUGGGACCGGCCGUCCCUGUGACACCGUGGAGGUGACCGGCUAAUUUCCGGCCUCAGAUGCCAUCACCGAAUCUGUAAUUCAAAGGCUUGGGUAAAGAUGACAGGAACAGUACAGAGAGCAGUGCGGACCCUGUGAAGGCACCUGAAAGUGAACUUUAAAGAUCAAGACUAGGUUUUCAGGAAGAGGAGGAUGGAGCACAUAUUCCAGAUCUGAAUAAUAGGAAGGAAAUCUUGUUAAGGGCCUGGGUUAUUUGAUAAUAACCAUGUGAGGCUGCUUCGGCAGAGCUGUAAUACUACAAAAUAUUAGAGAAGAUCCUCGAGAGAUGGAUUAGCAGUCAAAGCUGCAUGAUGAAGACAAGGACCAGGAAGAUGAAAAACACGCUCAAGUCUUGCUGAGAUGGUCAUCACAUGAUUUUUUUUUUCUGCCCUGCAUGCCCAAUCUUGGAUUUCUAUUCUCCUAAAUUUAAAAUCCUUCUUUGAAAAAUCAGACCAGAGAGAGAACAAGUCAUGCAACUAGAACCUAGGUCUGAGACAUGGCUGGUCAUUCUGUGGCUUUUGGCAGUGUGGUAAACAACCAUCAGAGCACAACUUCUCCCAGCCGCUGUGUCAGGCUCGCAGCAGUGAGGGCACACCUGGCCACACUCAGCUAUCUUGGUUCCUCAGGUGUGUGCCACAGAGAGACAGCAGCAAUCCCUUCUGGAAAUGGCUUGGGAAUACCAUGGAGGAAGCAGGAGCAUUGGUGAGAUUUUGAAGAUGGAAGAGUGAAAGAUGAGGUGCUAAAUCUGAGACUGUGGCUGCUAAAAUGAGCUGCUGAACAUCAGAGAGCAGGAAUUACUGCAUUUCCUAAGAGUGCUGCAGAACCUCUGAGCCUUUUAUUUCUAGUAAUAGAAAAGAAAUCCAUGUGUGUCUCAACAUGUGGAUGGAAUUUUGUUUAUUUGAGGAAAAGAAGCGUUAAAAUAACAGUUUUUGAAAGCAACAGCUUUUCAUAGAGGCAAAAAUAUAUUUUAUGUAUAUAUAAAAUAUGCAUCCUAUGCUCUGUGUUUAUCUGGUUUGCCCAUCCCAGAUCCCUUGAGUGGAUAAUGCUGCACCCUCAGCUCCCACAGCCUCCACCCUCAGCUCCUACACCUCCAUCCUGGCCUCUGUGCUGUACAUUAGUUCAAAUGAUUUUUGAAAUAAUUUCAAAUUAUUUCAAAGGAGCCCAGCUGGGUGCUGGACUGUGAUUUCUCAUGCAGCCCAGAUCAGAUCCAUUAGUUUUCUUGAAGGUUAGGACCAAGACCAUAGAAGUGGAUGGGGAGCGAAUAGACAGACUGGUGUUCCUGCUGUGUUCUCAGAGGCUUAAACCAGGGAGAAAAUAGUCAGGCACAUCCAUAUUGUUUUUGCACUUUGCUUCAUGAUUUGCAGUAGUCUCAUUCAUAAAUGACAAAGAAACAGCUCCCCGCUGUGAGGUCCUCAUACCACAGAGAGCUGUAAUGAGUUCGCAAUGCGAUGGAGAUAAGGAAGAUUUUUAGUGAUUACUCAGACAAAUCUCUGAGUGCAAAUCAGAGAUGUGCUGAGGGAAGGGGAUAUCUUUCCAUCACUCUCCAUGGCCUAAACAUCUGAGGAUACUUAAGGUAUUCUCAUGGUAUUAUAUAAUAAGAACUCUCUAAGACAAAAAUGUCCUAAAUGCAUCUUUAUGGAUUUUUUUCCCUUCACUGUAUGUCAGAAACUUUUGUAAUUUGACAGCCACUAGCAGUGAUUAAUGGCUAGCAAUACAGCUAGAGGCAAUGUAUGUUUCAAAGUCAGUAUCAGGAAAGACUCUGUGAUCUGGGAAGUCUUUGGCUGAGGAACUCUCUCCUUGCAAAAUCAAAACCAAGUAUUUUGCCUAUGUGCUCAUUGAAGAUAUCCAAAUAAAUAGUUGGAAUAUAAAUGAAGAUGAGAGUGAAAAACAGGAGAAUAUUUACCUUGCAGUGUGGUGCUAAACUGAGAUUUUGUUUCUGUUUUGGUCUUUUAUGAUAGCUACAGUGUAUUUAUAUUUUUCAUAGGUAUGUAUAUAUAUUUGUGGAAGUGUAUACAUGUAAAUGCUCCAAAAAGAAAUUUUUUAUUUUCAUUUUCUUAGAAGCAUCAGGUGUUUUCUGUGUUGAAUCUUAACAGAGGUAAUAUAUAUCCAGAUAUUAAAGUAAAAAUAAAGAAAUAAAUAUUUCCAAAGAUGACUCCUGUACCUCAUUUACUGCUCUUUUCAAAAUGUGUGGUUAUGAGUAAACCAUUGACUUCCACAAGUAUAUGCUCUGAAGGAUUUCAGAUACAAAAAAAUUAA